CGAAGGCAGAUUUCCAGAAACUCCAAGGCAGCUCUCCGCAGCAGGAGAAAAGCAAUCCAGCCCUCUCUUCCGGAGCACCAAGGGUGGGGCGUGCCGGAACAGAAUGGAGACGCCACAGCAGCUGGCUGGGGUCAAAACACAUCUAUCCGCUCCCGAUGUCUGAAGGAAUAAAAGAAUGCAGACAAAUACUUACUGCACGGAGCCAG